rnacentral:rRNA from 1 species
GACGAACGCUGGCGGCGUGCUUAACACAUGCAAGUCGAACGGAAAGGCCCUGCUUUUGUGGGGUGCUCGAGUGGCGAACGGGUGAGUAACACGUGAGUAACCUGCCCUUGACUUUGGGAUCACUUCAGGAAACUGGGGCUAAUACCGGAUAGGAGCUCCUGCUGCAUGGUGGGGGUUGGAAAGUUUCGGCGGUUGGGGAUGGACUCGCGGCUUAUCAGCUUGUUGGUGGGGUAGUGGCUUACCAAGGCUUUGACGGGUAGCCGGCCUGAGAGGGUGACGGGACACAUUGGGACGGAGCUACGGCCCAGACUCCUACGGGAGGCAGCAGUGGGGAAUAUUGCACAAUGGGCGGAAGCCUGAUGCAGUAACGCCGCGUGCGGGAUGACGGCCUUCGGGUUGUAACCCGCUUUCGCCUGUGACGAAGCGUGAGUGACGGUAAUGGGUAAAGAAGCACCGGCUAACUACGUG